rnacentral:rRNA from 1 species
UACGGAGGGUGCAAGCGUUAUCCGGAUUCACGGGGUUUAAAGGGUGCGUAGGUGGAUUGGUAAGUCAGUGGUGAAAUCUCCGGGCUUAACCCGGAAACUGCCAUUGAUACUAUCAGUCUUGAAUACCGUGGAGGUCAGUAGAAUAUGUCAUGUAGCGGUGAAAUGCUUAGAUAUGACAUAGAAUACCAAUUGCGAAGGCAGCUGGCUACACUAAUAUUGACACUCAGGCACGAAAGCGUGGGGAUCAAACAGG